UCACAGACAAAAGAAAAAGAAGUCACUCACUGCACUCUAGCAUAGUAGGUGGCGGUAAUGCACCUUUCAGUUGGUUGCCAACCGCCAUUUAAAAGACAAAAGAAGAAGAAGUCACUCACUGUGACACGGACUGACAUGAGGCCAUUAGGGUUCAGAAAGUGCUCCGUUUUUGGUCGUUCCAACCAGCAUCGCAGCCUUUUCAUUUUACCGGCGGCGCGAGAAAGAAGAACUUUAUGGAUUAAUUUUAUUGUAAACGGAUGAAGCAAUUUAGAAGCAUUUAGUCAGUGGUGUCGGCACUGCUACGUAAAUGCUCCUUCAUGUGUGGACACAAUUUCACCUCCGUCUGCUUUGAAAACGAGGGUACAGUAUAUUUAUUACUGGGUUGAGGUUGAAGAAGCGCUCCGUUCCUACGAGACGUGAUCCACUUGCUCCUUCCCCAAAUGCAAGUACAUGCUUGAUACUUAUUGGAUGCUGACGCAUCCCAGCUACCGAAACGCUAUGAGGUUGUUUCUCAAACUGAUGCCACUGCAGGCUGUGGACACACAUCUGCCUUGUAGAAGAGUUGUUGCUCACCUCAGGAGCAAAGAGUGGUGUCAAGGAAAACAGCUGCAUCCUCCAUCUGUACAGCAGCUGCACUGCUUCCGAUGUCUUCCAAAAUGUAAUGAAGACAACAAAGAUCCUCACAUCUCCCCAGCCAACUGCCCAUGACUGUACCUGUUCCACUCCAAAAAUUAUGCUUUCAACAUAACUAUGAAUCCUACCCAUUCAUUUUGUGGUCUGCACCUUGAACUGUGAUGAUAACUUAUCCAGCAUUAUAGGGCUGGUGCAUUGGUUAACAAUAAAGUUGGCUUUGACUA